GCGCUCACUUGGCAGCACAUAUACUAAAAUUGGACAGAUACAGAGAUUAGCAUGGCCCCUGUGUAAGAAUGACACGCAAAUUCGUGAAGUGUUCCGUAUUUUU